CAACACAAAAUUUGGAAUACAUCACUUCUCCAACAAACUUUGCACCAGCCGGAAGCGCCAAAAAUCAAAAUUUUAUUCAAAACCGCGCUUUUGGUUUCAGUUUUUGAUCUCCUUAUCAAAAACUGCUCUGCCUUCACAGAGACCCCUUUUGGUUUUAGUUUAUAGAGAGCCCUCACCCGAUCACUCACAUUGUUUUGCCUCCUACCUGUGAUCGUCACCGAUCUUUCAGGUCGCACUCCUGCCAGCUUCUGACCUCGCAACUCAGGCGACCACCACCCUCUCUCGUGCUUCGCGCUCACAGGUUACAGAGCCCUAACUCGAUCACACUGCUCUGCCUCUGCCUAUGGCUGCCUCUGACCCUACGGUCUCAGAUCUUGCACCCUCGCUAGCCUCCGACCUUGCACCUCAGGCAAUUUCUACCCUCGUGGUUUGCACUCACAGGUCAUAGCUCUCACCCACUCACACUGUUCUGCCUCUGCAUGUGGCCGUCUCCUUCGGUCUCGGACCUCGCACCCCCGCUAGCCUUCGACCCUUGCCACUUUGCAUCUUUGUGCGUCCUCUGCCAAGUCUCAAUUUUUUGUGCUACUUGGUGAUUCAUUCUUCCGUGAGAAGGAGUAUCAUAGAGCUAUUCAUAGCUACAAGCAAGCUUUGCAGUACAACAAGAUGGUCCUCAAAUAGAAUGUGCAACUGUCUCGUAGUUCAAUACCAUCAAACAGGUCACCGUCUCCAAAUUCUUGCAAUGCAUCAGGAAUCAACGAGAAUGAGGUGAGGCAGGGUGCAAUGCAUCAUAUAUGAAUCGUCAUAUUAUUUUCUAGACCUUAUAUACCUUAUUAGUGUCCAAAAAUUGGUUUAAACUGGACCUUAUAUACUUUAUUAGAUUAUUCCUCUAGUGGCAUAAUAUGUAUAUGGUGAAAGAAUUUUUUCUAUGUGAUAUUUUGUUCGUGGAUCUAGAUGGGUGGUUUUGAAAGGGCGUUGAUUGGUCAUAUACUCAUUUAUAAGCAUCAGUGGCAUUUGGAACGAACGGAGAGGAGGGUGAUUUGCAAGAGUAAAGAGACUAUAAAGAAGAAUGUCAGGUUCUAAAAAAAAUAGAAAACACUUGUCAAUUAAAGGAGCAAGAAAUGACCAAUAAAGAGCAAAAGGUUAAGUUGGAUGAUACUGAACACAAGUUAAAAGAUUAAGGACAUCAACAAAAAGUUCAACAGAAAAAAAUUAGUUCUACUAAAAAGACACUUCAUGCUUUAUACAAAAAGUUGAAUCUCCCACUUUCUUCAACCUCGUCUCUUCCUGUGGAAGAUGAGCUUGAGACAAGCUUUAAUAAUAGCAUGAGUGAUUGAUGUCUAGAGUAUAUAUUUUUUCUAAAUUAGAUUAAGGAAUUUUUAUGUGAAUUAGUUAGUACAUUUUAAUUUAUUCAUGAUUUGUGACCUUUUUAAAGGCU